CCUACGGGAGGCAGCAGUGAGGAAUAUUGGACAAUGGGCGCAAGCCUGAUCCAGCCAUGCCGCGUGCAGGAAGAAGCAUCUAUGGUGUGUAAACUGCUUUUGUACAGGAAGAAACACUCCCUCGUGAGGGAGCUUGACGGUACUGUAAGAAUAAGGACCGGCUAACUCCGUGCCAGCAGCCGCGGUAAUACGGAGGGUCCGAGCGUUAUCCGGAAUCAUUGGGUUUAAAGGAUCCGUAGGCGGUUUAAUAAGUCAGUGGUGAAAUCUGGUCGCUCAACGAUCAAACGGCCAUUGAUACUGUUAGACUUGAAUUAUAAGGAAGUAACUAGAAUAUGUAGUGUAGCGGUGAAAUGCUUAGAUAUUACAUGGAAUACCAAUUGCGAAGGCAGGUUACUACUUAUGGAUUGACGCUGAUGGACGAAAGCGUGGGGAGCGAACAGGAUUAGAUACCCUGGUAGUCCACGCCGUAAACGAUGGAUACUAGCUGUUCGGAGCAAUCUGAGUGGCUAAGCGAAAGUGAUAAGUAUCCCACCUGGGGAGUACGUUCGCAAGAAUGAAACUCAAAUGAAAUUGACGG
rnacentral:rRNA from 1 species